UCAGGAACCGACGUGCUUACAUGG
rnacentral:siRNA from 1 species